CUUUAGGUUACUCAACCGAAAUGUCACUUUGGCCUUAGAUAGCCUCCUUGCCCUCUUUUCCGUUCCUAGAUUACUCUUUGUGCUCUCUUCAUCUUUACUCUUCUUCCUCGCGCUUUCUUCUUCCUCUUCAGCGCAUUUUCCUCUUUACCUCUGGUAGAUGCACGCUUAAUUGUUCUCACACAGAUCCGUUCACGUUACACAAUAAUAAGAAGAAACAGAGUACAAUUAAGGUUUAUUCCUCACCACAAAGCAAAGAAAACAGGCGGCCAGGGAACGGAUAACCAUGGCUGUAUUCUGCGAUUUUAAAUUUAUGCUAUGAAUCUUGGUUUUGAAUCAGUGAAUGAGAAUUUGGGGACGAAGACGAGUUCUCAUGAAUUUUAGCCACUCUUUUCCUGUUUCUUCUCUCUGUAUUCUUCGUUAAAUAAAUCGACUGAACAUAGUCCCAAUUCUCGCUAUCGCCUGUAAACCAAUUACAAAUUCUCAUGCGGUAAGUAGAAAAAACUACAAUCGGCACAGGUGUUUGCCAUUGAAACAAAACAUAAACGUUGCUUAUAUAGUCGUCAUUUCCUACAGUGAUCAACUUAAAUUUCUACUGAUUCAUGUAGAUUCCCACAAGGUUCGUAUAUUUUCAUUAUACAACUUACCUUUUACCAUACAAGAAUACUAUGAUUGAUAAAAAAUUAUAUAAUAUCAUGCACAACAAUUUUCUCAACGGCGACCCAUAUCGAAAUUAACACCGAAACUUCCAAUCGUUAGCGCAACGAACAGGAUAGUUUUAACACAACAUCACCAUGGAUAAUUAUGGUUUGUGAAUUAAAUUCUCAAUUGAAUGUCUAGCGACUUUACAAUUCAAGUAUAUAGAUUUCCUUAUGUUUGUUGGGACAUAGUAACAAAGUGUCUAAGGUAUGUUAAAAUUCCCACAAAAUUUGCUUCAACUUUCUUUGAAUAUUAAACUGGUAAUUCGUGUUUUUUAAAUUUUGUGGAAACUUUUCAUUGAUCGGGCAAUAUAUGAAUAUAAUUAUGUUCUUGGAUGUAAAAUUUGGUUCUAUCUAAACCUGGUUGACUCUCCCUUCAAGUUUUGGGCAAUUACAAUCUUUACAAAUUCAUGUACUUCUGUCGAAUUGAAUGUCAGGUGAAAUUCUAAACAUUCAUGGUGAAUUUUAGGAAAUGGAAUGUCCUUCUUCUUAACACUUAUAAACAACAUUUAUCUCCAUCAUGGCAUCAGGCUUCACCUAUUCAGCAGUUAUAUCCAAAGUUAUAGCUAGAAACUAACUGUAGUUUCUAUGAUAUAUUAUGCAGGGAUUGCGGAAAACAAGUUUGCUUGGGUAAGCAAUGUCUUUGUUAAUAUACUACGGCUCGGUUGAUUUAGUGUUCUUUUCUACUUUGUUCAUGAAUUGUUUCUAAUUAACUGCAAGCUUCAAGUGGACAUUUUUAACAAAAGUUUGAAUCUUAUAGGGGGCUUUGACGCUAAACAUGCUGCUUCUAGGUAUCACGUAGUAGUUAGAAUGAGUUUAAUUAGUAAAGAUAUAAUGACACUAUUUAAAUGAAGAAAUUGGAAUAUUAUGGUGUUAAAUUUUUCCUAUUAAUUUCAGGGCCUAUGAUAGUGCUGUGAUUAUAUUUAGAGGGCUGGAUGCAGAGAUCAAUUUUAAUGUCAGUGAUUAUCACUAUGGUCUAAAGCACGUGUGUUCAUAGCUAAUUAUUGAACCACCUAAGUUAGAGUUAUUUCUCCUCAAUUAGGAAGCUGUUUGGAUCACCGUUAUUUUUUUGUACGUGACUGAUAUGUAGAUGUCUAAUUUCUCAAAGGAAGAGUUUGUGCACAUACUUCGACAUCAAAGCACUGGGUUUUCUAGAGAAAGCUCAAGUACAUGUGAAUCAAGCUACAUAAAUGUGGACGACGGGAAGCUCGGAUGGGGCAGCUUCUCAGAAAGAAGUGACUAACCACUUAUCUUACCAUAGUUUAGGAAUGUCAUAAUAUCAGCGAUAUAGCUGUUAAAAAGCUUUCUUGAUAUAUUAUCAUGUCAUUAUACAGAUUUUCUAAACUAGAAGGAAUCGACAUUAUUCACGCAUUUAAGGUA